AUGAGGUCGCUCCGCGCGGCGCGGACCCUGCUCGCCUCCCGCUCGUUCCUCCUCUCCUCGCGCGCGCUCCAUGCCGCCGCGGCCUCCCCCGCGGCCGGCCGCUGGGGCAACGCGCCGCCGCCGCCGCCCACGCCCUGCCCGGGGCCGUCGUCCCGGGCCGGGAUCGCGGGCGCGGUCUCCUUCUCCCUGACGUUCGCCACGGUGGCGGUGGCCGAGGUGCAGGCCAAGGAGCGGCUGCCCACGGAUCUGCUGCCCCGGAACGUCGUGCUCUACCAGUACCAGGCGUGCCCCUUCUGCAACAAGGUCAGAGCUUUCCUAGACUACCAUGAUAUACCCUACAAAGUUGUGGAAGUUAAUCCACUGAGCAAAAAGGAAAUCAAGUGGUCUGAGUACAAGAAGGUCCCGAUAUUGACGGUAGAUGGUGAACAUCUGGUUGAUUCUACAGACAUAAUCAAUAUAUUACAGCACAAGAUCAGCCCUGAUGAUGAAGUCACUAAUGAAGAGGAAACAAAAUGGCGCAAGUGGGUUGAUGAGCACCUUGUGCAUGUAUUGUCACCAAAUAUAUACCGGACGACUUCGGAGGCUCUAGAAUCUUUUGACUACAUUGCAAAGAAUGGUAACUUCAGUUACACCGAGCGGUUUGCUGUGAAGUAUGCUGGUGCUGCAGCAAUGUACUUUGUGGCCAAGAAGCUUAAGAAGAAAUACAACAUUACUGAUGAGCGCGCCUCGUUGUAUGAUGCUGCCAACACGUGGACGGAAGCACUGAAUGGAAGAAAUUUUCUUGGUGGCUCCAAGCCUAACUUGGCAGAUCUGGCAGCAUUUGGUGUUCUGAGACCUAUCAGAUACCUGCAAUCUGGAAAAGACAUGGUUGAGCAUACUCAGAUCAGCGAGUGGUACCAGCGGAUGGAAGAUGCGGUCGGAGAACCAUCAAGAAUCCCGGAGGGCCAGUACCCGGAGUAG
rnacentral:rRNA from 1 species